UUCUGGCUCAGGAUUAACGCUGGCGGCGUGCCUAAUACAUGCAAGUCGGAUGGUUAGCUUGCUAACCAUGGCGAACGGGUGAGUAACACGUAGGUAACCUGUCUAAGACACGAGGAUAACCAUUGGAAACGAUGGAUAAUACUGGAUAGGACAUUUGGAGGCAUCUUUGGAUGUUUAAAGAUUUAUCGGUAAUAGAGGGGCCUGCGGCGCAUUAGCUAGUUGGCGGGGUGAAGGCCCACCAAGGCGAUGAUGCGUAGCCGGACUGAGAGGUUGAACGGCCACAAUGGGACUGAGAACGGCCCAUACUCCUACGGGAGGCAGCAGUAGGGAAUUUUCGGCAAUGGGCGGAAGCCUGAACCCGAGCAACGCCGCGUGAACGAAGAAGUAUUUCGGUAUGUAAAGUUCUUUUAUUUGGGACGAAAAAUUAAAAUUGACUGUACCAAAUGAAUAAGCUCCGGCUAACUACGUGCCAGCAGCUGC
rnacentral:rRNA from 1 species